UUGUGUGUACAGAGUGAUGAGAAAUUGUUGGACGAAUCCGGGAUCGAUGGUAGUGGAUGAAAGACACCCCUCAUACUUGUUCUGAUAAGGUACCCCGGAAGUUGAUGCAACCAUGAGAAAGUAAAGUCGGAAAUGGUAGUGGAUGAAAGACACCCCUCAUACUUGUUCUGAUAAGGUACCCCGGAAGUUGAUGCAACCAUGAGAAAGUAAAGUCGGACACAAUUUGGUGACACUGGACCAAGAGAGCGGUAUGGUAGAACCGAAUCGGAAAAGAAACCACAUGACACUAGGAGGCUUCAGA
rnacentral:lncRNA from 1 species